CUACGUGCCAGCAGCCGCGGUAAUACGGGGGGUGCGAGCGUUAAUCGGAAUAACUGGGCGUAAAGGGCACGCAGGCGGUGACUUAAGUGAGAUGUGAAAGCCCCGAGCUUAACUUGGGAAUUGCAUUUCAUACUGGGUCGCUAGAGUACUUUAGGGAGGGGUAGAAUUCCACGUGUAGCGGUGAAAUGCGUAGAGAUGUGGAGGAAUACCGAAGGCGAAGGCAGCCCCUUGGGAAUGUACUGACGCUCAUGUGCGAAAGCGUGGGGAGCAAACAGGAUUAGAUACCCUGGUAGUCCACGCUGUAAACGAUGUCGAUUUGGGGAUUGGGCUUUGAGCUUGGUGCCCGUAGCUAACGUGAUAAAUCGACCGCCUGGGGAGUACGGCCGCAAGGUUAAAACUCAAAUGAAUUGACGGGGGCCCGCACAAGCGGUGGAGCAUGUGGUUUAAUUCGACGCAACGCGAAGAACCUUACCAGGUCUUGACAU
rnacentral:rRNA from 1 species